rnacentral:rRNA from 1 species
GACACGCUGGCGGCGUGCUUAACACAUGCAAGUCGAACGGUGACGAGGAGCUUGCUCCUCUGAUCAGGUGGCGAACGGGUGAGUAACACGUGAGCAACCUGCCCCAGACUCUGGGAUAACAGUUGGAAACAGCUGCUAAUACCGGAUACGAGACGGAGAGGCAUCUCUACCGUCUGGAAAGUUUUUCGGUCUGGGAUGGACUCGCGGCCUAUCAGCUAGUUGGUGAGGUAAUGGCUCACCAAGGCGACGACGGGUAGCCGGCCUGAGAGGGCGACCGGCCACACUGGGACUGAGACACGGCCCAGACUCCUACGGGAGGCAGCAGUGGGGAAUAUUGCACAAUGGGCGAAAGCCUGAUGCAGCGACGCCGCGUGAGGGAUGACGGCCUUCGGGUUGUAAACCUCUUUCAGCAGGGAAGAAGCGAAAGUGACGGUACCUGCAGAAGAAGCACCGGCUAACUACGUG